CUUAAAAAGCAUAGGUUUUUUUUACUUCAAAAUUCUUACUAUUUUAUAUCACGUGUAUCCCAUGUGUUAAUUCUAGAUAUAAGAUUGUAAGAUUCUGUUUAUAAGACUUCCAUGCCACUUAAAUUGACCAUUGAGCAACUCCUGUUAUUCUAAAAAUACCACAUAACUUAAUUUAACAGAAUUCCUGAAAUCCUAACAUAAAAGAUAUAGAGGGAUUUAAUUUCUGGAAUUGAAAGCGUGCAAAAAGCACAGGGGGUGGGCUCAAACUUAUUGACUAAUCAAUUGGGGGUAUAAGGGUAAUUUCAUAUAGAAAAAGGGUGUUAAAUGGAUGUCUUAUUUCGGACACCACCAAACGUAUCGAAUUUUACCGACUCUGGAAAGCAAGGAAAAAACUGACAUUAUAUGGGUAAAACACCUACUGGCAAGGAGCUAGCUCGCGAGUUACUUAUCGCAAUAUCUAGUUCUGUACCUGAUACUGAUCUGAAUGCAGAACAUGCAUCUAAAAAUAUAGACGCUACAAAUGGUGCUGCAGUAACAAAGACUGAUGGAGCUGAAAAAUAUAGGUCUGAACUGAUCUCUAUAUCCUAUGCCCAGUCUCCUGAUGAUCAAGUGCCCUCGGUUGUGCUUAGGAACCAUGUGGGUUAGUGAGGACUAAAUUGACAUGGGAAAUUUAAUAAAAUAUAGUGUGUAGUGAAUGUUUUGUGAAACUCUUUGUUGUGUUGUAUGAUUUUACACCUAAUGUUGGUUUGCUUUGCACUUAAUUGUCUCCAUGUUACUAUAAACAAGGGAACAUAUAUCUGUACAGACUAUGUUGUGAUUAAAGUGGAAGACAUGUUUUGUUUAUUAGACAA